GGUACCUUGGCCGAGUGGUUAGGCAGCGGUCUGCAAAACCGCGUACGGCGGUUCGAAUCCGCCAGGUACCUC
rnacentral:tRNA from 1 species